rnacentral:lncRNA from 1 species
CUGGCAAAUACAGAAAAAAAGGAAAGCACGUUUGCUUUCUCCUCAGAAACAAAAGCAAACAAAAAAGGAAGGAGAGAUAAAAGAAGCUUCUCUUAAAUCAGAGAGGACAAGAGAAAGAAGACAAUAGAAGAAUCAGAACGAUGAAGGCAAAUAUUAUUUAGUCUUUAUGUGAAUGAAACAGCUAGGCUCGCAUACCAAUGUUUCUGUGAAUGGAGCAAGGCCUUUCUAUCUCUCUCUCUGCAAGGAAGGCAGUCCCUCGGGAUGGAAUGGUCUUAUCCAAUAAGAGACGAGCUGGAUGACUCAUUCAGGAUUUCCGAGUCAAAACGGAGAGUGGAAAAAAGCGCUUCCAAAACCAGGAGAGGCAGACAGAGCAUGGGACCCACCGAGGCGGUCACCAGAGACGUGC